AUACGAAAGGUGCAAGCGUUGUUCGGAUUUACUGGGCGUAAAGAGAUCGUAGGUGGUUUAUUAAGUCGGAUGUGAAAUCCCGGGGCUCAACCCCGGAACUGCAUUCGAUACUGGUAGACUAGAGUUUGGGAGGGGUAAGCGGAAUUCCGUGUGUAGCAGUGAAAUGCGUAGAUAUAAGGAGGAACACCUGAGGCGAAGGCGGCUUACUGGACCAAUACUGACACUGAGGAUCGAAAGCGUGGGUAGCAAACAGGAUUAGAAACCCUAGUAGUCC
rnacentral:rRNA from 1 species